AGUAGGUGUGAUGACUGAUAUAUCGCCCCAGUCUGAGUUUUAUCUGACUGAUUGAUACUCUCUGAUCUCCA